AUGCGCAUACUUGUCCUCUGGAUUAUUUGUGGAACUUGUCUGACAGACCCAAGUCAUGGGGAUUCUGUCACUCAGACAGAGUCCCCAGAAGUGAAGACAGAAGGAGAGGAGGCGACUUUCAGCUGCAGCUAUGAUACUACACAGAGCUACCACUAUCUAUGUUGGUACCGGCAACGGUCAGACUCAAGACUUGAGUUCAUACUAAGCAAAGAUUCAAACGGGGAUGGAUAUAAAGCCAAUUUUGCCCAGAUUCGCUUCACUGGCCAUCUCCAGAAGGAAAGAAAAUUCACCAGUUUGACCAUCUCAUCGCUGCAGCUGAGCGACUCUGCAGUUUAUUACUGCGCCUUCAGCCGCACAGUGAUGUAA